rnacentral:lncRNA from 9 species
AUGGGCGUGUGCAGCUGGGGGUCCAUUCGAAUUAACGUGAUCAUUCCAAGGUUUGCCAGAAGAUUAAUCAGAAUCAGAAACAGGAGAAACAGGACAAGCUGCAGUUUGGGGCGAGUUGGAAAUCCUAACAUAAUAAACUCAGUCACCAAGGUAUAGUUUCCAUCUGUAAAUUCCAUAUUGUGUGUUGUUUUCUUCUUAUGAGAAUUCUAUCGUCCUAAAAUAUUAUAUUGAUAGAAAGAGAAAAAAAUGCAUAUAAGGUUAUUUUAUUGUUUCAACAAACAAAUUGGCAAUCAAAUAAAGAAUCCCAGCCCAGACAUCCUUCCAAAUGUAAACUCUGAGAAAUAUGUUUCAGAAUUACUAGUUAGAUCUCAUGAUUGCUAGUUUUAUUUGACUUGUUUGAUUAAUGACUAGUUCUUCCACUGGACGGACAUGUCUGAUCAUGUUUGAAUUUUCUUACCUUUCUGUAUCCUAAAUAUAGUUCAAAGGCUGACCCAGAGAAUUAAAGGAAGUAAUGAAUAAAAUGAUGAUAUGAAGAAAUAUAUAUAUGUUAUUUAAAAUAUAUUGAUGUAAGCAUAUAUUUUGUAGUAAUAACUGUAGAACAAAUAGCUCUGUCCAGGAUUUAUAGGUAGUAGUGUGCUGUACUCUUGACAGAUGUGGUUGGAGUGGUUUAAUAAGAUAUACUUCAGCUCAUUUUUGAAAAAUAAAAAGUAAAAAUGAUAUUAAUGAAAUGGAAAAAAGUCAGUAAAUAUCAGUUGUAAGGUAGUUUUUGUUUGUUUUCUUGUCUUUUUAGCGCUGUACCCAUGGCAUGUGGAAGGUCCCAGAGUAGGAGUUGAAUGAGAGCUGCAAUUUCCAGUCAAUGUCACAGCCACAGCAACACCAGAACCUAGCCUCAUCUGUGACCUACACCACAGCUCAGGGCCACACUGGAUCCUUUAACUCACUUAUCAAGGCUAGGGAUUGAACCUGCGUCCUCAUGGAUACUAGUCAGGUUUGUUACCACUGAGCCACAAUGGGAACUCCAGUAAGUGCGUUUUUGACAGGAAAAAGUUUAGUGUAAUUCCAUAAAUCCUGUCAAGAUAUUAUGUCAAUAUGUUUUUCUCUUUGGGAUUCAUUACAAUUCUUGGCCUCUAGUAAGCACUCAAUGAAUUUUAGUUGCCUAAAGGGGGCAAAAAAUUAGUCAUAAGUUAACUUUUGAUUUUUAAAAAUAUGACUCUAUGUAGCAUUGUCACUGAUAUAUAUGAACAAUUGAAAAUAGUGAACAAUUAUUGAUUUAUAUGUUAGUAUAAUUCAGGGUGAUGAGUCUAAAAAUGAUGCCAAUUCCUGCUUCUGGUAUUGCAAAAUUUUCUGGGAGUAGGUGGAUUUGAAUCUGACUUUAAAGUGCAAUAAAUUUUAUCUCAACCUUGAAAAAUGGGGCGUUCCCAUUGUGGCUCAA